rnacentral:misc_RNA from 1 species
CUUGAAGGACAUAGCAAAAGUUAAUGAGAACUUUGUUGCCACAGGACCACCUUAAAAUAGGAAUGAUCCCAUAGAAACAAAAACAUAUCUUUGAGGAAAUAAAGUUUAACCAACCAAAAUAUAGGGUAGAUUAAUUAACUACAUAACUACCUUGAGGCAGGAAUUGAAACCAGGGCACUGAUCAUUACUGGGGUAAGUGGGGCCCCCUUCAUGAGGGAUGACCAACCAGGCACCUGGGCUGGCACACUAUGAGUUAUCUGGUUGAUGCAUCCAUUCAAAUACCCUGGCCAGAAAUACGCUGAUGUGUCCAAUAGGUGUCUGGCAAUACAAGCUUCAAUGAUAAGAUGGCGCAUGUUUCCAGAACAA